CCGCGGUAAUACGGAAGGGGCUAGCGUUGUUCGGAAUUACUGGGCGUAAAGCGCGCGUAGGCGGCCAUGCAAGUGAGGCGUGAAAGGCCUGGGCUCAACCUGGGAACUGCGCUUCAGACUGCACGGCUUGAGUCCGGGAGAGGGUGGUGGAAUUCCCAGUGUAGAGGUGAAAUUCGUAGAUAUUGGGAGGAACACCAGUGGCGAAGGCGGCCACCUGGCCCGGUACUGACGCUCAAGUGCGAAAGCGUGG
rnacentral:rRNA from 1 species